CCACUUUUCAAAGCACUCACUGGGCCUUCUGCCAGUGACCCACUGAGCCGUCAAAAAGGGCAGAUUAAAAAACACCAGUUUUGGGUGAAGCGGUAACAUCUUGUGUUGUUCAGCUUCAAUCAGUGAUGUGACAAAA
rnacentral:snoRNA from 1 species